rnacentral:rRNA from 1 species
ACGGAAGGCAGCAGUGAGGAAUAUUGGUCAAUGGACGGAAGUCUGAACCAGCCAAGUCGCGUGAAGGAUGAAGGUAUUAUGUAUUGUAAACUUCUUUAGCAGUGGAGUAAUAAGGGGAUCGUGAUCCCUGAUGCAAGUACACUGAGAAUAAGGAUCGGCUAACUCCGUGCCAGCAGCCGCGGUAAUACGGAGGAUCCGAGCGUUAUCCGGAUUUAUUGGGCUUAAAGGGUGCGCAGGCGGCUUUUUAAGUCAGUGGUUAAAUCGUGACGCUCAACGUCAUCACGCCAUUGAUACUGGAGAGCUUGAUUGCGGUCGAGGUUUGCGGAAUUCGUUGUGUAGCGGUGAAAUGCAUAGAUAUGACGAAGAACACCGAUUGCGUAGGCAGCAGACCAGGCCGUAAAUGACGCUCAUGCACGAAAGUGCGGGGAUCGAACAGGAUUAGAUACCCUGGUA